rnacentral:lncRNA from 1 species
UAAGGACACAGAUAUGUAACAGAAAUGCUCAAAUUCAAGGGAUCCUAAGCACCAAAUUAAAAAAUGUAGCCAAAGGCAUGGGGAUGAUACUCUAGGAGAGCAACCCAGGAUUCUCAGUGGUUCAUUCAUUCCUGCGAUGUUUUCCUUAGGCUGGGUAGAGGUUUGCUAUACUAUUUUAUAUGUUAUUUUUCUAGGGGAAAUACUUCAUUUACAAACAAGAGGUGCCUUGCCUAAGGUCACCCAGCCAGUUGAGGAUGGCCUGCACAAGGAUAGAUGCCUUCUGACUCCUAGACAGGUGCUCCUUCCCCUACAGCAAGCUGUGCAAAAAAGCAGGUCACUUCAUGGUCCAGGAGAGAUUCUUAGGGUUCUCUCUAUGCGUCUGGCUCCAGAUGGAAACAAGGGGAAAAGACGAAGAGCCACUUCCCAAAAGUUCCAGCCAAUAGCCUCCCAUCACAUCUCACUGACUGCUCCUACCUAUGAGGGAAGCUAGGACAUGCAGUGUUUCAGCUGGGCCCAGGGCACUUCUGUGACUUAGGGUGUAUGUGUGUAGUGGAGGAGUUGCUAUUCACCAACGUGGGCAGGUUGACCAGCAAAGGAGCAAGGUAGGGCAACAAGACCCCUGAAAUAAGAUUACUUGAUAGAAAGGGAGAGGCCCUAGCUGCAUUCUAGACCUGAGAUAAUUACAGUGCUCAGUUCAGCAACAGGGUCCAUGUUGAAUAUGGUCUUAGCUGAUGCCAGAAGCUCCCACAGACCCAGACACCUUAACACCAUGCUCCGAACAAUGGCUGAUUGCAAGAGUGUGAGAGUUAGAAAGUCACAAAACUGAGCACAAAACACUCUUGGCCGUGCUGAACCCCAAAGAAGUGAGUUGUGGACCAUCAAAGAACCAUAGCAGCUUUUGUUGGGAUUUAGGUGGCCAAGUGGAGCAUCUUGGAAUCCUGCAGAAGCAGUCUUCAACAGCAACACCUGGUGGCUGCGAGAAGCAACAGCAGCGAUGGGCUGAACAGACUGCUGGCCUUGGCUCAUUGACGAAGACGCCUGCUUCCCUAGAGACCCCAGAAGCCAUUCAAGUGCAGGACCACUGUGGAAGGCUGUAUACAGAGUACUCACUGUCUCACUGGGAAAGAUGUGCCAGGGUUUGAUCAGAAACACACACGAUAUGUGAACAUGUUUUGUACCAUGAGACCGAGGAGUGGGGAGAAUGGCUGUAGAAUCAGGAUGGUUAAGGCAGAUAUUUUUGGCGAGGACAACUUUUUGGUCGCCAGUCCAAUCUUACCCCUUGAGUUGGGGUAGGCCAAACCCGUAGCUACUCUGGGAUCUUUUCAAGCUGGGUUUCUCUCAAGUCAUGCCAAACUGGAUUGAAUCCGGGUUUCUUGAUGUUUGUUACACAUGAUGCCAAAUACACUUCCAAAGCAAGAAGCAUUUCUCUUCAAAUAGCAGUUGAGCAUGGCAGGCAAGUUGUGACUGGAAUUAGCCUGCUCCGCACUGCC